AGAACGAACGCUGGCGGCAUGCCUAAUACAUGCAAGUCGAACGAACUCUUCGGAGUUAGUGGCGCACGGGUGCGUAACGCGUGGGAAUCUGCCCCUUGGUUCGGAAUAACAGUUGGAAACGACUGCUAAUACCGGAUGAUGACGAAAGUCCAAAGAUUUAUCGCCAAGGGAUGAGCCCGCGUAGGAUUAGCUAGUUGGUGAGGUAAAGGCUCACCAAGGCAACGGAUCCUUAGCUGGUCUGAGAGGAUGAUCAGCCACACUGGGACUGAGACGCGGCCCAGACUCCUACGGGAGGCAGCCCAGUAGGGAAUAUUGGACAAUGGGCGAAAAGCCUGAUCCAGCAAUGCCGCGUGAGUGAUGAA
rnacentral:rRNA from 1 species